CGCCACCUUGUUCCUCCCCACACACACAGCGUUUGGCUCUCAGUUUUCAGAUGAGUUGAGCAUUGUGAUGAGGCUGAGGCUAGGGGGACUGUGGGUGGAGGAGAGGAGCCUGCUAGCGGUACUGUCAGAGGAAGGGGAGGAGUUGCUACAGCUGAGAUUGGGACCUGGACUACUCACCUUCAUCAGUACCUGGAGCCGCCACUACGAGUUCCCAGCAGGCCUCCUGUGGGAUGGCGAGUGGCACUGGCUGGCCCUGUCUGUCGCGCUGUCCAGACUGGAGGUGUAUGCUGACUGUAGCCUGCUGGAGAGUAUACCCUGGAGGAACUACCCCGGCCUGGAGGUCUCCACCCAGGGUCUCAUCCUGCUGGGAGGGGCCACCCAGCCCCACCACACACCCUUUACCGGCACCAUACAACAGAUGACCUUCAUAAUGGGUGAUCCUACAGCAGCCAAACAGCACUGUCAAGACUACAACUCCACCUGCAUCCCUCACACAGACAAACAGGAGAAAGUGAUUUUAGCUACUGAGAAGGUGCUUGGUCGAGUUGCGACCAGGGCAACAUUCAGAGAAGAGUCUCAUGGACCCAGGCUGAGAGAUCAGACUGCAGAGCAGGACACAGCCAAGAACACUAACCUAUCAGCACAGUCAUUGCCAUCUGUAAGAGCUCAGUCAGUGCCAGAGACACAGAGAAAGACAAGGAUAAUACCUGAAACAGACAAAUUAAAGCUCACUCAGAAGAUAGGAUGGUUGAAUGAAACUUCCACACUGCAGGAUGAUAAAGCAGCAAAGAUCACUAGAAACGGAACAGUAUAUUCACAAACCGCUGGAUCUCUUCAUCAGCCAAACCAAACCAAUACAGCCAGAAAUGUCUCUGGCAUGAAAGGUGUAGUAGUACCAUCUCAGACAGUGGAGACAGCCAUUCUCAGUCCCACUGCAUGGUCAGAAAACCCCACUGAACCAGCCCUGCUGAUCCAGGAGUCAGACAGUGAUGGAGAAUCAAUAGGCUCAGGGAGAAAUACAUCAGUGAGGUUAGAUGAUUUACAGAUCCCACCUGAACCCAAACAGGGCUUUGGGCCUACAAGACAAACAUGGUCCUUAGAACACACCAUAAAACCCAACCUUUUGGAAUUCAAGAAAAUAGAUGCGGAGGAGCUACUGAGGCAGGCUGUGAUUCCUCUGCCUCCAGUGCUACCUCCAAAUAAUAGCACUGUCACAGGGAGAAAGACAGCACUGGAGGCAGAGGAGCCUCUGGGACAAUCUCCAACACAUCAAAACACCACUGAUAUCACUUCCACAUCAACAGGUGACAAAGCUUCAAAGAGACAAAGGGGCCAAAAGACUGUGACAAAGACUUUGACAGAUUCUGGACAAGUCAUGGAGAAGGGGGAUACAGUUUUAUCCCAGGAGCCACCCACAGAGGAUCGAGAGACAGACACAGAAACAAAGACAGAGUUUGAGUCAGCAGAAGAGAUGGACACAGAAACAGAAAUGGAAGAAGUUGAUGAGGACAAUGAUAAGGAAUCAGAGACAGAGGAAACAGAUGUAGGCGACAGCAAGUUGGCACACGACAUCACUCAAGUCAACACAAGGCAGUUUAAAAAUAAUGGGGGAGCCGUCAAAACUGAUGUUCUAACUGAGCUCAUGCCCCCGGAGCCGAGAGGAUUAGAGUGGGAACUGCCGCCUACCCCUCUGCCUCCUGCCAGUGUGCCAGCCAAUCACCAAUCAAGACACGCACUCAAAGAGCGAGGGACAGCCUAUAGACCGGGGCUUCGAGUGCAACAGGGACUUCAGGGCCCACCUGGUUUGACAGGGCCACCUGGACCAAAAGGGGAUAAAGUAUGUGUUAACUUUUUCACACAAUAUCUACUGAAUCUAAACUACUCAUAGUGACACACAUGAUAAUUCUGUUGCCCAUUAUUAUUGGGUGCUCAGUAUUAUUUCUAGAGUGUGCUGUGUGGAUUCCUAUUGACAUACAGGUCUGCAUGCAGAUGUUUCCAUAUUGUGGAAUUUCUUAAAACACUUAAGUGUGUAUUGUCUCCUGACAGGGCUACGCUGGCGGGAUGGGCCGGACUGGACGCACAGGUUACCGAGGCCCCAUUGGUCCACCAGGGAUGCCCGCCAUCGUAGUGUUCAAGAGCUCUGAGGAAGAGUGGGAGACCUUCAAGG
ensembl:lncRNA